GUCUACGGCCAUACCACCCUGAAUGCGCCCCAUCUUGCGUGAUCUCGGAAGCUAAGCAGGAUGGGGCCUGGUUAGUAUUUGGAUGGGAGAACACCUGGGAAUACUGGGUGCUGUAGGCU
ensembl:rRNA 5S_rRNA 5S ribosomal RNA